rnacentral:ncRNA from 1 species
UUCCACUAGGGGUGCUUUGGCAUACAGAGCUGAGAGAUGAAUGAGUUCAUCAACCCUUUGAACCUGAUCCAGAUUGUACUGGCGGAGGGAAGUGGUGUG